CCCAUGGUCUUCCAAGCCACCAAAACCACCUAAAAAAGAACAAAUGCAAUAGAAAAUAUAAAGAAAAAUAAACUUUUAUAAAGCCGCCCGGUUGAGACACUUCCCGUUUGUGCGUCGGCGAACGAAUAUAAAAUAAAAUAAAAUGGCGCACGUCAUUCAUGAAUGUGACGCACGGCUGCGUUUCCUUUUAGAAUCAUCCGGGGUUAUAAUUGUUUACAGUUGAGUGUGAAAUACUGAGAAGGCAGACGCUCCAGCUGAAUGUAUAAUCUGCCGAGUGAGGCGGGAUCGGCUUUCGUUGCGCAAAUCAGGUCGAGAUGUGUCAGUGCCGCAGCGCGAGACGUGCGAGAAUAAAACAAGCUGAUUCUUCUUUUCUGGAGCAGAGAAAACACAGAGGGAAUAGGUUUUGCCGAUACCUCGCGUGGUUGCCUGCACCAUCUGUCUAUGAAAUCGCUAAGAAGAAAACAACAUCAAUCCCCCAGUACACCGCCCCCUGGUUAUUUUGCAUGGAAAGAGCAGAACUGAGACCCGAAUUUAAGGAGCGCUAAAGUUAAACAGUGCUGCCGAGUGAGACCUUCAGGAUGCCGGAUGAUUGUGGACAGAAUCUAUUCCAUCUGAUGCUUUAUUAUUUAUUUUAAAGCGACAUGGCUCAGGAUCCUGACACAUUGUAACGCCACUUCUGUCAUAUUAAAUCUGAUUCACACGUGAGAAUUGACAGCGCCUCGAAAUGGAUAUUAAAGUGGACUGAAACGGACCUCAGAACCUGUCUAAAAUAUUUGUUACAUUGCAUUGAUUUGUAUUGUUUUUCUUUAUUGUAUCGA